UACGAAGGGGGCUAGCGUUGCUCGGAAUCACUGGGCGUAAAGGGCGCGUAGGCGGCGUUUUUAAGUCGGGGGUGAAAGCCUGUGGCUCAACCACAGAAUGGCCUUCGAUACUGGGACGCUUGAGUAUGGUAGAGGUUGGUGGAACUGCGAGUGUAGAGGUGAAAUUCGUAGAUAUUCGCAAGAACACCGGUGGCGAAGGCGGCCAACUGGCCCGAUACUGACGCUGAGGCACGAAAGCGUGGGGAGCAAACAGGA
rnacentral:rRNA from 1 species